rfam:Trichobilharzia regenti genome assembly, scaffold: TRE_scaffold0024217
GUACUGUUGAAGAGUCCCAAACUAGGAUGAAACAGCUGUCCAGUAC